CCCUUCCCUUGUUCGUUCUUUCACUGAGUUAAGAUGUCUGUCGGAAGCAUUAUGGCUAUCAUUAUAAAGCUUGGUUCUAUUUGGCAGCCGGACAGAAAAUACAAUACAUCCGUCAUAAAAUGAUAAGCUACCUUUGGGGUUCUGUAAUGAGUGAUGGUCGGUCUACAGAGGCGGCUGUAGGAAGUCCAUGAUAUGAGGUUGUCGUCAGGAUUUGGGUGCUCGGUGCUGCAGUCUGGUUGGUCAGUCUGAGACCAUGUGACCUGCAGUGAUCAUCAGCCCUCUGGUUCCAUGGAUGGGAGGGGCUUCCCACCAUACUCCCAACAUGUUAAGGGAAGGUUACUGCCCACAGCUGGUGUUAUCCAGUAUAUGUGCUAUGUAUCAAACUAAGCAUUGUAUGUGGGCCAAAUCAUUAGCUAAAUAAUGAAUGUGGAGAUCAGCCAAGUUCGAGAGACUAGACUGUUUGUUAUAACCCUGGAUUGUACACUGAAAUAAUAAAUUUAAUGAUUCACCGGUA